rnacentral:misc_RNA from 1 species
UGUGAACGUACCUAUCUUGUAGUGAGAUGAAUGCUGUUUUGGUGGUAGGGCCCUUCUGAAGAGAGGGCACCGCUGCCAGCAGUAUAGUCUCACCACUAUAAAACUCUUUUAUUAUUUUCUAGAUUUUUCAUUGCUGAGUGGCAUAACUAUAAAAAAGUUAAAACUUUCAACAACGGAUCUCUUGGCUCUAGCAUCGAUGAAGAACGCAGCGAAAUGCGAUAAGUAAUGUGAAUUGCAGAAUUCAGUGAAUCAUCGAAUCUUUGAACGCACAUUGCGCCUGGCAGUAUUCUGCCAGGCAUGCCUGUCCGAGCGUCAUUUCACCACUCAAGACUCUUUUGUUCUUGGCGUUGGAGGUCCUGUUCUCCCCUGAACAGGCCGCCGAAAUGUAUCGGCUGUUAUACUUGCCAACUCCCCUGUGUAGUAUAAAAUUUCUAAUUUUUCACACUUUGAAGUUCUUGUGUAACACGCCGCUAAACCCGCUCAACUUUUGUUGAACUUUUCACAAGGUUGACCUCGGAUCAGGUAGGAAUACCCGCUGAACUUAAGCAUAUCAGUAAACGGGAGGAAGAACUCCGUACUGAGUUUUUGUACUCUAUAAACCAUGUGUGAACGUACCUAUCUUGUAUUGAGAUGAAUGCUGUUUUGGUGGUAGGGCCCUUCUAAAGAGAGGGCACCGCUGCCAGCAAUAUAGUCUCAUUAAAAACUUUUUACUAAUUUACAAA